AUGAACGCUGGCGGCGUGCCUAAUACAUGCAAGUCGAGCGAACAGACGAGGAGCUUGCUCCUCUGACGUUAGCGGCGGACGGGUGAGUAACACGUGGAUAACCUACCUAUAAGACUGGGAUAACUUCGGGAAACCGGAGCUAAUACCGGAUAAUAUAUUGAACCGCAUGGUUCAAUAGUGAAAGACGGUUUUGCUGUCACUUAUAGAUGGAUCCGCGCCGCAUUAGCUAGUUGGUAAGGUAACGGCUUACCAAGGCAACGAUGCGUAGCCGACCUGAGAGGGUGAUCGGCCACACUGGAACUGAGACACGGUCCAGACUCCUACGGGAGGCAGCAGUAGGGAAUCUUCCGCAAUGGGCGAAAGCCUGACGGAGCAACGCCGCGUGAGUGAUGAAGGUCUUCGGAUCGUAAAACUCUGUUAUUAGGGAAGAACAAAUGUGUAAGUAACUAUGCACGUCUUGACGGUACCUAAUCAUAAAGCCACGGCUAACUACGUG
rnacentral:rRNA from 1 species